GGAGGUUGUGGAGAAUGGCAACAACCAAGUGCCAACGACUGAAAAUGCUAAUGCUUCAGGUAAAAUAUUAAAAUGGAGCUAGUAAAUAAAUUUUUAGAAGUUGAUUUUGUUUGCAAAAUCUAUGGAAAUUUGCUAUUCAUUUUACUAAAUUGCAAAUUUGAAAAAAAAAUUAGAAUAGAGUAGAAUACUAGAAACAGAUUUUAGAGUAACGGAUCCGAAUAUGAUAGAGAAGAGAAAAAAAAAUAUAGAGAAAGACCAAACAUUCAAAAUAGAAUUGUUUCUAGUGACUAACACUGUAACAGCAACCUCAACUACUGCUCCAACAACAACAACAUCAGCAGUUGUCACUUCCUCCAAUGGAAACAUAGUGCACAACACCAAUGGCAAUGGAGCCAGCGGAGGCCAGCAAGUCACUGCAGCCCCGACUUCUCCUCUCAGAGGCCCAUCAACAACGACAUCAGCUGGUGGAGCUCAAGCUGUUGCUGGCGUACCUAGUUGGCAGUCAGCCUGCCGUUACCAGCUUUGCUCAGCACUUCGGAGAUCCAAAUAUCAAUGCGAAUCUUCGCUGGCCAGCUGCCAGCAGCACCGAUGUGACUCAUGUGUACAACACUCCGCUCCAAGUCCCAGGUCCGAAGAUCACCUUGGGACAUCUGCUGUCCACCCUGGAGCACAUAGCCAGUACCCAGGGAACUGGCUGGCCGCACAUGAGUCAGGCACUUCAGCACUCUCAGAGAAUGAUGGAGAUGUCUUUAGAGUUCCAACGAGGAGAGAUUAGACGUUUAGAGGUAUCUAGAAAUAGCGAAAAUUCUACCACACAUACUAAUAGCCCAAACUUUACCGCCUCUACACCACAACCGUUAAAUAGAUUUGCUCCCCCUAGUAACUUUUCGAUAGAUAAUAUCCUAGAGAAUAGAAGUAAUGAAUCUAAUCUUGUCGAUAAUUUUCGUACCCCAAAUUUACUGAUCAAUAGUUCAAUUCCAGACUUUACAUUGACUUCAAAAUCAGAUUUCAAUGUUUGGUUAGACAAACUAUAUCAUAAUUAAUAUCAUCAUAUAUCAUAAUUAAUCAUUUAGAUGAAAAUUACCAUAAAUUGAUUCUAGACAUCAGUGAUGCAGCAAAAGUUCUGAAUGUAAUCAAAAGUCAAAGAGUUUUAGAGUCUAAUGUAGAUAAAGCAGGAGUGAGGGAAAAGCUCUUCAGUCUCAAAUAAAAUAAAAAUGAUAAAGUUAAAGAUUUUAUAAAUAAUUUCGAGUUUUUGAUUCGAAAAUAUGAAUUAAACACUGAAGCUAUUCCUAUCACUGAUGCGGAAAAAAGAUAUGAUUUUAUAAAAGCUGUUAAAGAAACUUAUCCGCGCAUGAGAGAGAUGAAUAUACUAACCAAACAAAACAAAAAUAGAGGAAUGACAUUUGUAGAGAUGAAAAAAUUUGUACUCCAGCUCGAGGCGGACAGGCGCAAUAGAGGCGCAGCUACAUCUGCCAAUGUUGCUGCUGGUGGGGGCGCUUCUGGUUGUGGCGGUAACAACGAUACGUGCUUUCGCUGCUACCAGCAGGGCCAUACACAGCAGCAAUGUCAUCUGGCACCCCUGGGCGUGUGUUUCUGCUUUGCCUGCAAGGGUGUUAGGGACCACAAAAGUAAGGACUGCCCAAACUUUAGCCAGGAAGAACAUGAUAAGCACCAGGCAAAGAAACAAAAUUAAAGAGACAAGAAAGAUGACUCAAGAAAAUGAAAGUCAAGAAUAGACGGUGAAUUUUUUUUUAUGGAAUUAGAAUAGAUAGAGUCUCUUUUUGGAAGGAAAAAAAAAACUUUUUACUGAUAUUCUUGAAUUAUUAAGUUUAAAUUGCUUAGAGUUAUUUUUUUUAUUUUUUAUUUCUUCUUGUUCUUUUGUAACUUUAUUCCACGAACGUAAAGUAAUUUUUGAUAGACAAAAAUAGUCAUAAUAACUUAUAUCGCAUUGAAAACAUUGUAUUAUUUAUUUACCAUUCUGAGUUAUGAUUUGAUAAGAUUAUUUGAGAAAAACUUCAUUUUAUUUAAAUAAUUAAUAUGUGCUUCAAAAUGUGCCAUAAAUGAUUAUUGUGAUACUAGCGAAUACAACUCCACUCUCAGGAGGGAGUGUUAAAAUUAGGACUCUAGUGUAGUUGUAUGGGUAUGUGUGUGUAUAUAGAGCGACGCAUGUGCCUGGCGCGUCGGCGUCGACUCCGCUGCUGUAAGUGCCCUGUGCGGCACUCGACCACUGCCUGUCGUCCUGCGAGGAUCGCUCUGUGUCUCAA